rnacentral:rRNA from 1 species
GGCGACCGGCAAACGGGUGCGGAACACGUACGCAACCUUCCUUUAAGUGGGGGAUAGCCCAGGGAAACUUGGAUUAAUACCCCGUAAUAUUAUGGAGUGGCAUCACUUUAUAAUUAUAGCUACGGCGCUUAAAGAUGGGCGUGCGGCUGAUUAGGUAGUUGGCGGGGUAACAGCCCACCAAGCCUGCGAUCAGUAACUGGUGUGAGAGCACGACCAGUCACACGGGCACUGAGACACGGGCCCGACUCCUACGGGAGGCAGCAGUAAGGAAUAUUGGUCAAUGGACGCAAGUCUGAACCAGCCAUGCCGCGUGGAGGAUGAAGGCCCUCUGGGUUGUAAACUUCUUUUAUUUGGGAAGAAACCCAUCUUUUCUAAGGUGGUUGACGGUACCAGAUGAAUAAGCACCGGCUAACUCCGUGCCAGCAGCCGCGGUAAUACGGAGGGUGCAAGCGUUAUCCGGAUUCACUGGGUUUAAAGGGUGCGUAGGUGGGCAGGUAAGUCAGUGGUGAAAUCUCCGGGCUUAACCCGGAAACUGCCGUUGAUACUAUCUGUCUUGAAUAUCGUGGAGGUGAGCGGAAUAUGUCAUGUAGCGGUGAAAUGCUUAGAUAUGACAUAGAACACCAAUUGCGAAGGCAGCUCGCUACGCGGUUAUUGACACUGAUGCACGAAAGCGUGGGGAUCAAACAGGAUUAGAUACCCUGGUAGUCCACGCCCUAAACGAUGGAUACUCGACAUACGCGAUACACAGUGUGUGUCUGAGCGAAAGCAUUAAGUAUCCCACCUGGGAAGUACGACCGCAAGGUUG